rnacentral:rRNA from 1 species
UGGAUCCAGACUUUGAUCCUUGGCUCAGGAUGAACGCUAGCUACAGGCUUAACACAUGCAAGUCGAGGGGCAGCAUAUCGGUAGCUUGCUACUGGUGAUGGCGACCGGCGCACGGGUGAGUAACGCGUAUCCAACCUUCCCAUGACUGGGGGAUAACCUUGCGAAAGUAAGACUAAUACCCCAUGGUUUCCGAGGCGGACAUCCAAUUUGGAAUAAAGACUCAUCGGUCAUGGAUGGGGAUGUGUCUGAUUAGUUUGUUGGCGGGGUAACGGCCCACCAAGGCGACGAUCAGUAGGGGUCCUGAGAGGAAGGUCCCCCACAUUGGAACUGAGACACGGUCCAAACUCCUACGGGAGGCAGCAGUGAGGAAUAUUGGUCAAUGGACGAGAGUCUGAACCAGCCAAGUAGCGUGCAGGAUGACGGCCCUAUGGGUUGUAAACUGCUUUUAUACGGGAAUAAAGUCAAUCACGUGUGAUUGUUUGUAUGUACCGUAUGAAUAAGGACCGGCUAAUUCCGUGCCAGCAGCCGCGGUAAUACGGAAGGUCCGGGCGUUAUCCGGAUUUAUUGGGUUUAAAGGGAGCGUAGGCCGCCGAUUAAGCGUGUUGUGAAAUGCCGCAGCUCAACUGUGGCACUGCAGCGCGAACUGGUUGGCUUGAGUGCGCGGAAGGCAGGCGGAAUUUGUGGUGUAGCGGUGAAAUGCUUAGAUAUCACGAAGAACCCCGAUUGCGAAGGCAGCUUGCCGCAGCGUAACUGACGCUGAAGCUCGAAGGUGCGGGUAUCGAACAGGAUUAGAUACCCUGGUAGUCCGCACGGUAAACGAUGGAUGCCCGCUGUUCCGGCUAUAUGUUGGAGUGGCCAAGCGAAAGCGUUAAGCAUCCCACCUGGGGAGUACGCCGGCAACGGUGCAA